AACGAACGCUGGCGGCAUGCCUAACACAUGCAAGUCGAACGAGACCUUCGGGUCUAGUGGCGCACGGGUGCGUAACGCGUGGGAACCUGCCCUUAGGUUCGGAAUAACUCCCCGAAAGGGGUGCUAAUACCGGAUAAUGUCUUCGGACCAAAGAUUUAUCGCCUUUGGAUGGGCCCGCGUUGGAUUAGCUAGUUGGUAGGGUAAAAGCCUACCAAGGCGACGAUCCAUAGCUGGUCUAAGAGGAUGAUCAGCCACACUGGGACUGAGACACGGCCCAGAAUCCUACGGGAGGCAGCAGUGGGGAAUAUUGGACGAUGGGCGAAAGCCUGAUCCAGCAAUGCCGCGUGAGUGAUGAAGGCCUUAGGGUUGUAAAGCUCUUUUACCCGGGAUGAUAAUGACAGUACCGGGAGAAUAAGCUCCGGCUAACUCCGUG
rnacentral:rRNA from 1 species